rnacentral:rRNA from 1 species
AUUGAACGCUGGCGGCAGGCUUAACACAUGCAAGUCGAACGAGCGGCGGACGGGUGAGUAAUGUAUGGGGAUCUGCCUGAUGGAGGGGGAUAACUACGGGAAACUGUAGCUAAUACCGCGUACCAUAGUAUGAGCCCAAUGGGGAUUAGGUAGUUGGUGGGGUAAAGGCUAACCAAGACGACGAUCUCUAGCUGGUCUGCGAGGAUGACCAGCCACACGGGGACUGUGACACGUCCCAGACUCCUACGAGAGGCAGGAGUGGGGAAUAUGGCGCAAUGGGCGCAACCUGACGUAGCCAUGCCGCGUGAAUGAAGAAGGCCUUCGGGUUGUAAAGUUCUUUCGGUAGCGAGGCGUUAACUACAGAAGAAGCACCGGCUAACUCCGUGCCAGCAGCCGCGGUAAUUC